rnacentral:lncRNA from 1 species
UGGUGUUUUUAGGUCACCCUAGUAACACAACCGACAUUACCAUAGUAGCAUCUUACAUGGAAAGACAGAUCACUCCAACCUCAGGAAAAGCUGCAAGCUGCUCUACUUGGCCUGACCUCAACGACUCUACAAGGUUCCCUGUGUUACCUGAAAUUCCAGACUGGAGAAGUGUGGAACAACCAACAGGACAAUGGCCCAAACCAAGAUGGGUGCCCACACCAGAUGAUAUGUGGAAAUGUAAAAUGUUUCUACAGUGACCACUUGACAGCAACCGAAGGUUUACUAACAGACAACUACUAGCCUUCCUGCUAAGAGUAUCAUUAGUCUCUGUAACAGUAAGUAAACCCACUGCUUCUCCUGCUUAUUAGACAUGCUUCCUUCCUGUGACAUGAAUUAUAUCACCACACUGAUGGGAAGAAGAGUCAAGGGAUUUUUUUUAAUAGUUGUUUUAUCUAUCACUUUCACUGAAGCAGAAAUUCUAGACUGAUUCACAAAUGGAAACCCCAAACACCAUGCAGCAAAGCGUUCAUCUAUGGACAGGAAAUAGUAUGGGUUUUAUAGGCUAGAGUCAAGGUUAUGUCACUUCUAAGCAUACUUUAAAAGUCUGCACAGACACCUUCCUCAUUAUUCAGCUGACAAAGCUAGCUACACAUAAUAUACUUUAAUCAUAUAUAGGGUGUGCGAGCAAAGUUCAAUUUAUAUACAGUCCUUGCUACUAUAAUACUUAUAGCAUUUAACAGUGUUGUCACCAAACCACAUAAGAGCAGAAAGAAAGCAAGGGAAGGAGGGGAAAUAAAAAGUAGCAUCUCAAAUUGUAUAACA